rnacentral:rRNA from 1 species
UACAGAGGUGGCAAGCGUUGUUCGGAAUUACUGGGCGUAAAGGGCGCGUAGGCGGCCAUCUAAGUCAGACGUGAAAUCCCCCGGCUUAACCUGGGAACUGCGUCUGAUACUGGAAGGCUUGAGUAUGGGAGAGGGAUGUAGAAUUCCAGGUGUAGCGGUGAAAUGCGUAGACAUCUGGAGGAAUACCGGUGGCGAAGGCGGCAUCCUGGACCAUUACUGACGCUGAGGCGCGAAAGCUAGGGGAGCAAACGGG